rnacentral:rRNA from 1 species
UGGGGAAUAUUGCACAAUGGGGGAAACCCUGAUGCAGCGACGCCGCGUGAGCGAAGAAGUAUUUCGGUAUGUAAAGCUCUAUCAGCAGGGAAGAAGAAUGACGGUACCUGACUAAGAAGCACCGGCUAAAUACGUGCCAGCAGCCGCGGUAAUACGUAUGGUGCAAGCGUUAUCCGGAUUUACUGGGUGUAAAGGGCGCGUAGGCGGGUCGGCAAGUCAGAUGUGAAAUCCAUGGGCUCAACCCAUGAACUGCAUUUGAAACUGUCGGUCUUGAGUGUCGGAGAGGCAAGCGGAAUUCCGUGUGUAGCGGUGAAAUGCGUAGAUAUACGGAGGAACACCAGUGGCGAAGGCGGCUUGCUGGACGAUAACUGACGCUGAGGCGCGAAAGCGUGGGG